GAUGAACGCUGGCGGCGUGCCUAAUACAUGCAAGUCGAGCGAACAGACGAGGAGCUUGCUCCUCUGACGUUAGCGGCGGACGGGUGAGUAACACGUGGAUAACCUACCUAUAAGACUGGGAUAACUUCGGGAAGCCGGAGCUAAUACCGGAUAAUAUAUUGAACCGCAUGGUUCAAUAGUGAAAGACGGUUUUGCUGUCACUUAUAGAUGGAUCCGCGCCGCAUUAGCUAGUUGGUAAGGUAACGGCUUACCAAGGCGACGAUGCGUAGCCGACCUGAGAGGGUGAUCGGCCACACUGGAACGGAGACACGGUCCAGACUCCUACGGGAGGCAGCAGUAGGGAAUCUUCCGCAAUGGGCGAAAGCCUGACGGAGCAACGCCGCGUGAGUGAUGAAGGUCUUCGGAUCGUAAAACUCUGUUAUUAGGGAAGAACAAAUGUGUAAGUAACUAUGCACGUCUUGACGGUACCUAAUCAGAAAGCCACGGCUAACUACGUG
rnacentral:rRNA from 1 species